rnacentral:rRNA from 1 species
CAUGGAGUUUGAUCCUGGCUCAGAUUGAACGCUGGCGGCAUGCCUUACACAUGCAAGUCGAACGGCAGCACGGGUGCUUGCACCUGGUGCGAGUGGCGAACGGGUGAGUAAUACAUCGGAACGUACCUUAUCGGUGGGGGAUAACGCAGCGAAAGCUGUGCUAAUACCGCAUACGGCCCUGAGGGGGAAAGCGGGGAUCGAAAGACCUCGCGCGAUUAGAGCGGCCGAUGCCUGAUUAGCUUGGUUAGGUCGGGGUAAAAG